ensembl:lncRNA
GGGAGAUUAAGGCAGACAGAUGGAGGUGUCCAAAUCUGUAUCCAUUGCUACCGUGGAGGGUUAAAAUUGUUAUGGAUUGUCCUGCAGAUUAUUAUUGUGCAGAACCAGUACAGGAGAUUGAGCUAAUAUAAAUAAUAAGUUAAUAUAUAGGUAAAAGUUAUUACAAUGAUCUAUUUGAGGGAGGGAAAAGUGGGGAAUCAUUAACAAGCAAGGAGCUAACCAAGAAUUAGAAAGCCAUCCUGUUCUAUAUCAUCCUGUGGAGGAUCAUGCAAGUUUCAAGUUAAAAUUGUUAGUUUCCCAGGAAAAUAUUUUAUGUUCUGCAGAGCAAGCAGCAAUGCUUGGAAGGGACUCCUCUCCAGUGGAUGCAUACCAACAUGAUGGAAUUGUGAAAUGACAUGUAUAAUUACGAUAGGAAGAGAUGAACUUUCAUGACGCUUCCUUUACAGAUCAAUAAGCCUCUGGGUUAAUUGCAGAAUUUCUUGCUGUUAAGUCCAGAACACCUGCUGUAAAACAAGAGGAUUUCCAGAGUAUCCUGAGGAAAACCUGCACAGGACCUUCAGGACUACAGAAAAUGUGACUCUUUGACUGUUCCCUGGUCAGAGAUGGCUUAGAGUGCCUUACCUCCUCCACCACCCAGCUCUGCCAGAAGAUUUGAAGCACCUUGCAAGCAUGACACCUUCCAGGAGGUACAAGGGACCACAUGACUGAAGAGAGCCGGGAGCUUUGGCGGUCGAUACACUGGGAUCUUGAUUUGUGAAGUUCCUUGAUGCCACAGACAACUAACUUCGCUCAUAUAUGUGUAUAUUACUCCAUCUUGAGAAGAGUAGGUUUUCUCACAUUUCCUGUACUUAAUGAAAUUAGCAUUUCACAUUUUCCUCUAAUUUACAGCUUUAAUUUAGUUGGGACAAUCUAUAUUUAUUCACUCUAAUUUCAAUUCUGGUAUGUUUUUGCUAGUUCAAUUGCUGUUCUCUCUGUGUUGUUUAAACUUUGAGGUAUUUAAAGCAUUUAAUAAUAGUUUAUUUGUCUUUCCUGGUUAUGAUGUAGAAUUUUUACAUUGUCUGAUCUUUCCAUUUGUGACAAUUUGGAACAGUUAAAGCCAAAUAACUAAAAAAGUAACAGGCAGAUUCUGUAUUUAUAAUUGGCACUCUUGAAUAGUGAAAAACUUUAUUUUGUACUUUUAUUGGACUGAAAUGUUUUCCCUACAGUGCUUGCUAGUGAAAUAGGCUUUUUUCCUAAACUUGACACACUGCACCAAUGAAGAACUGUUUAUUGUUAUUAUAUUUGUGUUUAUUUCCAUUUUUCCCCCCAGCUCUGUGGAAGAUUCUAUCUUCUAUUAAUUACACUGAAGGUUUUCCAAUUCUGUUUCAUGCAUAUGUUAGUAACCAUGUCAUACACAAUUUCUUCAGUUUUUGUCAGCCAAGAAGUAGAAGUAGAAUUGCAUUUUCCCUGCCAUAUGAUGUGUAUUUCAUGAUCACAAUAUUUUGGUUUCCCAUGGCCUUUGACAAUAGAGGUAAUAAUUUUUGCCCUAGAAAAGUUCCAAAUAUGAAGUUGAUGUUAAAUAUCUUUAACUUGGUUUGUCAAGAAUAGAAAAGAAAAUUGUCUUUUUUUUUUUUUUUUUUACCUCCAG